CCCCGCUGCCCCCGGCCGCCGCCCAGCCGCUGUCAGACGGCGCGGUGGUGCUGGGGCCGGGCGUCGGAGUGAGCUCCGAAGUGUGAGUUAGUCCGAAGGAGUGUUGUAUGUGCUUGUGUGCGUACGUACGGCAGGAGGGAGUUAGCGCACUACGGGCAUCGAUGGAUGUCUGCACGGGGAGGGCAGUACUGCGUGGAAGAGAUAUACCUGUGACACGUAUAACCAAGAUGCUCCGAGUUAUGGGAAAACAAACACCAAAGAGCCCUUUCCAGAGCUGCUUGGCAACUGUCUCCAUAAAUCAGUUCUACCAAGGUGCUGUGCCUUCCAGAGAUAGUCACUUUAAUGGCAGCAAUUUAGUUGUACGGGCCUGAACUUUGGGGGGAAGAGGCACAUGGAAACCAACAGGAAUAUAAAACUUGGGAACUUGAUUGGAAAUCUUUCAGGUUUCUUGGCUGUCCUAAAGGUAGUGGCAAGGGUGUGGUGGAAUCUCUUGUGUUUUCAUAGAAAUCUCAAUCCUAGUCGUUGUUACAGAAGGUCCAGUCUUGGAAUCAUAGAAAAUGUAUACAGAUGAUGCUGCUCGUGAAGAAACAAAAAUCUAUUAAAACACCUCCAGUGCAUCAGUAAAAGUGCUGGAAAGAAAUGUGAGUUUUGACUGUUGCUAAGAAGAGAUGUGGCUGUGUACAUUGCACGGGUCCUCUCCAAGUGACAACUCACAGGCAGGGGAAAAGAGACAUCAUUUAGGAGUUGGACUAGAUGGCUUCCAGAGGUCCGUUGCAACCUCAACCAUUCCACAUUUCUGUGAUUAGAAGAGAUUUUAUCUAUCCACUUUGCUGUGGUUCUUACUCUGGUGGCUUUUGAGGAAGCAUUCUCUCCAGGUUUGUCCCACCUGGAACAUGUUGAAACAGCACGAGCAUAGAGAUUCAAGUUACCAAAAUCCCAAUGGUCAAAAAAAUGGCAGGUUCAGCUGCAGUUUAUGGAAACAGAUAUAAUUGUUAGGGUUCAGAGCUGGCAAUGAGCAGAGGAGCUGGCUUCCAACUCAGGAGGUCACUCAAACUUUGGGUUUGGACUGUCCAGUUUUCUCUGAGAAAUCAUGCCCAAACACUUCUGUGUGGUGCCAAAACCAGAAAAUAUGUAGGUCUCCUCACUGUAAAAAAUCAAACAAUUAUUACAGGAUCUGGAUAAUCUCCACAUGCACACAAUAGAAGAAGUUUAGGGAAAGUUUUGUUGAAAAGAGGAAAUUUUGUCUCAUUAAAUUUGGUGGCAAAAAAUUCCAAAUUCAAGCAUGAUUUCACCCUAUGUUACACUCUUGCCAUUGUGUAGAUUUUUGGUUAUAGAUAAGGAUCAGCCAGGGUUUAUAACUAAGUUUAUUUUGUAGUAAGUCUGUAGCAGCAAUUAAAGUUCCAAAACAGUUUUCACAUACUAGUAAUUUAAAGAAAAGUACAUCUCUGAAGAUGUAAUUUUCCAUUUUAAUCUCCAUCCAAAGAUAUUCUUUAACUUUGGGCAAAUUCCUGUCAAACAGUUUGAGUUAUAAUUGUAUGAAAAAAGAUACUCUGCCAGAUGUAAGAGAAAGAUGACUGCUGACAUUUUUAUUUCUUUUCUACAAGAUAAGCCAUGAGAUCUGACCUCUGAAGAACGGUGUAUAAGUAACCACUCAGGAACUUGUUCAUAAAUGGACUGGAAAAGUAAAGUGGAAAAAAAGCUUAAAUUAUUAAGCCUGAAUGUUGGGUAAUAAGAGUGAACAGUAGAAAUAUGGCAAUUAGAUAUUUAAAUUAUUUUUGAUUCUCAGCCUUCUGCCUGAACCAUACCUGAGACAGUAAAGCUAGUACAUAUGGAGCAGAUAUCAGAGCAUGGGUUAUUUCAACAUCCAGUGCAAUAAUUAUGGCUAUAUUCAGUAUCACAAAUCUCGAAAUUGCAUCAAGCAACUUAAAAAAUAAAUUAAUUAUACUAUCACAAGGCAAACUUGGAAGAAAGUAAUUAUUCUUAACAUAGAAUAGUUCUGAGUAAAGAAUUAAUUUAUUGAUUUAGUAGUGUAGAAUUUGAUUACUUAACGUAUAAAUUCUCCCAGGAAUAGAGUCCUGGGGCAUCCUGAGAGGAGUGACUGAAUAACUGGAGACCUUAACGUGUAGAGGUCUUUGUAGGGUGCUCAGUGUAUCGAGUAAAAGAAAUCAUUAAUCCAAGCUACCAUCUAGCUGUGUUUGCCAUCUUGACUACUCAUCACAAAAAUUUGUCAGACUUAUUCAGAACAAAAAAUACAGAUGUAAUUCCCCACAAGUCCCCAGAGGUGUUUUUCAGUAUGGUUAGUUAUAUAUGGAAGAAACAUCAACAUUUCCUUGAUGCCUGACAGCACAAAAUCCUCAAAUAAAUAGCUACAAUAUUGGGUCUCAUAGUGAAAUUUUUAUAAUGUGCCAUACAAUUUUUAAUAUCUACAACAUAUGCAAAGUAGGAUCAAUUUUCUUACACUAGCACAGCAAAUGCGCCUCUAAGAUCCAGUUAAUGGUAUUAAGGUGCACUGAUAUAUUAUUUUAUUUUCUGACUUUAUCUAUAUUAAAAACAAAAUAAACUGAGAUUUUUAUUCCUCCUUACACCUGUAGAAGUAAUUCUUUAUGUGGUCUGAAUGAAGAUAUGAUAAUGGAUCAUCUUAGUAGCAACGUAUCACUAUGAAUAUGCAUUUGUUUUUCACGAGAAGGAUAUUUUAGGAUCGGGGGGAUAGCACUAGUUCUUAAAAGUAGACUAAAAUUAAAGCUUCUGAGUCCCAGGUGGAGGCAUUAAGAAACUAAAAUACCUGAGUUGAGGAAACCCCCAGCUUUGUGAUCAUGGUUAGACCUUCCAUCUGUAACACUAGAUAUAGAAGGAAAAAUACAACAAUCUGUAUUGCUGUGGCUCCUGGAAAAGCUGAAAGUGUGGGUACCAGUUAUUUACUGGACAGCAUGAAACCACAAAAUAAAUUUAACAGUUUGGAGCCCUGAUCCUUCUCAUUUAUGUUUCUGUUUUGCACUGUCCUUAGAAAAAGCACAAGUCUAAAAAAAGCCAAGGAUAUAAUACCCUGAUUUCCACCAUCUACUUAGCCUUUGAUAGAAGUUUUCUUAUUGAUUUCAAUAACUUGAGCUGCAUAGAAUCAAUCUUGAUAUGCUUUGCUUUAUUGAGACUACUCCCAACCUUGAAGUUAAGCAUUAAGGCUCAGAUUCUCGUGGGUAUCUACAUGUUUAAUUAUUUUCCCACAUCAGAACUAGCAGAUAAAGAUGUGUUCCAAAUUCUUGGCCAUAAGGGCAUGACAGUUCCUAGACACUUGUUUCUGAACCAGGCAGCCUGCCAGGUGGAAGGCUUAUUUGCCUCAAAACUUCAAGAAUCCAGUGUGUCAGGCUGGCACAAUGAACCAAUCACUAAAUUCAGAUCACGUAAUACAUACAAGCAUGGUGUUUUCCUUUUGGUGAUGAAAACUACUGGAAUGUAAUACAACAUUUGAAAAAACAUCUCUGCCAGUGUGCUACAUUCUCUCUUUACACCAGCAGUGAGAAUUCCACGCUAAAAGUGAACUAAUUAUCUAAAAAAAAGAAAAAAGCAGCCAUCCGCAUGAAAAAUCUGACUUAAGAGAGUGAUGAGAAAUACUCUUUUUCAUGUGCGAUCUGAAAGCCACUUCUCUUUGCACAGUUUACUUUUGGCCUUCAGUCCUAGCAGAGGAUUUAAAUGAGUCGCCUUCCCUUUUUGGCUCUUUAAAUACGUUGCUUAAUUCCAUCAACAGAGGUCACUGCCGCUCUUUUCCUCUUUGGUGAAAGCAAGCUUUUUCCAGAGAUAAAACAGAACAACUAAUGCUCUCUACUAGCAGAGUUUGGUUUACCCUUUAGAGACUGGUUUGAGAGAGUUCAUGCAUAAUUUUUUGAGGUUGAAAACCAAAUAAAAGCAACAAUAAUAAUAAUUGGUGGGAAAAUAUUGAAAUGAUCCUUGGAACUUAAUGUAAUUUAUGCAGUUUUUAUUAUAGUGAUAUUUUGAGCUUUCUCACUACGUUUCUCCUUCUUUUCAUUUUGUGGUAUGACCAGCAGUCAUAUCUUCUCUGCAGCUCUUGGUAAUUCAGAAUCAAACAUUUUUGCACCAGUGAAGAAUAAGAGAAAAGUUUAUGAAAGGGUACCUUUAAAUUGCUAAGGUUUGGUUAAUAAAUUUGUCAGCAGUCAUCACUUUCAUCUAAACCUAUGUUUGCAUAAUUAAGAAAAUGAUGAAGAAAUAUUUGGCAAUAUCUAUCAUUAAGAGGAAUUAAAGCCAAAGAGUCCAUUUGAGCUAGCAGUAAUGUGAGACUUGCAGUUUUCUACUGCAAAAUCCAUUACAGGUUGAGCCAAAAAUGCCCACAGACAAAGCCCUUCAGAACUAAAGAGAAUAUAGGAGUUGUACAUAGUGAGACACUAUUAAAAAUAUGCAUUACCAUUUUAUGUGUACAAGCAGAAGUACCUCAGUUUACUGAUCAGGAAAAUAAAACUCAUCUCAGAACCAAAGCAGUCACAAUGCCUACUUCUGAAAAGGUGAUUUUCCUUCACAGUUGUCAAAAUUGCUUAAAGGAUCAGGACAGUGGAUUUCCAUUUCAGACAGAUGUGUUUAGAUGUUUAACAUGAAGAUGUCUACCAGUGGGGUAGGUAUCUGAGCUCUAAUUGGAUCUGAUGGGGUCUAAAUUGCGUGCCAGACCAUUGCAAAGCAGUCAUCCACGUUUGUUCAAGGGAUGUGAGCCACUGGCGGCCUUGACCUGAUGCCCAUGGACUCCAGCCCCAGGGGUGCAGUCCAGCUGCCAUAAGGCUGCCUCAAGUCCAUCUCUGAUCUCCAGCUGCUGAUCCAAAGAGCAGAAGGCUCCUGGAGUUCCC
ensembl:lncRNA